rnacentral:rRNA from 1 species
GAGUAACGCGUGGGUAACCUGCCUUAUACAGGGGGAUAACAGUCAGAAAUGGCUGCUAAUACCGCAUAAGCGCACAGAGCUGCAUGGCUCAGUGUGAAAAACUCCGGUGGUAUAAGAUGGACCCGCGUUGGAUUAGCUGGUUGGUGGGGUAACGGCCCACCAAGGCGACGAUCCAUAGCCGGCCUGAGAGGGUGAACGGCCACAUUGGGACUGAGACACGGCCCAGACUCCUACGGGAGGCAGCAUG